GACGAACGCUGGCGGCAUGCCUAACACAUGCAAGUCGAACGAAAAGGCCCUGCCUUUGUGCGCUGGUCGGGUUGCGACGGGGGGAGCUACCCGUGAGUUCGCAGUAACUCACCGAGGGAUAACCUAAGAACGCUGAGGCUCUUCGCGGCAAGGAGCUCUCGCCUUUUGGUGGGCCCUGGUUAGUUUCGGCGGUUGGGGGUGGAAUCGCGGCCCAUGAGCUUGGUGGUUGGGUAGUGGCUUACCAAGGCCUUGCACGGUAGCCGGCCUGAGCGGGUGACCGGCCACAUUGGGACGGGGAUGCGGCACAGACUCCUACGGGAGGCAGCAGUGGGGAAUAUUGCACAAGGGGCGGAAGCCUGAUGCAGCAACGCCGCGUGCGGGAUGACGGCCUUCGGGUUGUAAACCGCUGUCGCCUGUGACGAGACGUGAAUGACGGUAAUGGGUAAAGAAGCACCGGCUAACUACGUG
rnacentral:rRNA from 1 species